UUGAAUAAGUGACUCUCGAAUUGACGAC
rnacentral:piRNA from 1 species